UACGUAGGGUGCAAGCGUUGUCCGGAAUUAUUGGGCGUAAAGAGCUCGUAGGCGGUCUGUCGCGUCGAAUGUGAAAAUCCGAGGCUCAACCUCGGACCUGCAUUCGAUACGGGCAGACUAGAGUUCGGUAGGGGAGUCUGGAAUUCCUGGUGUAGCGGUGAAAUGCGCAGAUAUCAGGAGGAACACCGGUGGCGAAGGCGGGACUCUGGGCCGAUACUGACGCUGAGGAGCGAAAGCGUGGGGAGCAAACAGG
rnacentral:rRNA from 1 species